UACGGAGGGUGCAAGCGUUAUCCGGAUUCACUGGGUUUAAAGGGUGCGUAGGUGGGCAAGUAAGUCAGUGGUGAAAUCUCCGGGCUUAACCCGGAAACUGCCAUUGAUACUAUUUGUCUUGAAUACUGUGGAGGUCAGCGGAAUAUGUCAUGUAGCGGUGAAAUGCUUAGAUAUGACAUAGAACACCAAUUGCGAAGGCAGCUGGCUACACAGUGAUUGACACUGAGGCACGAAAGCGUGGGGAUCAAACAGG
rnacentral:rRNA from 1 species